rnacentral:rRNA from 1 species
UUUCUGGUUGAUCCUGCCGGACCUGACUGCUAUCGGAUUGAUACUAAGCCAUGCGAGUCAUUGUAGCAAUACAAGGCAUACGGCUCAGUAACGCGUAGUCAACCUAACCUAUGGACGGGAAUAACCUCGGGAAACUGAGAAUAAUGCCCGAUAGAACAUUAUACCUGGAAUGGUUUAUGUUCCAAAUGAUUUAUCGCCGUAGGAUGGGACUGCGGCCUAUCAGUUUGUUGGUGAGGUAAUGGCCCACCAAGACUAUUACAGGUACGGGCUCUGAGAGGAGUAGCCCGGAGAUGGGUACUGAGACACGGACCCAGGCCCUAUGGGGCGCAGCAGGCGAGAAAACUUUGCAAUGUGCGAAAGCACGACAAGGUUAAUCCGAGUGAUUUCUGCUAAAGAAAUCUUUUGUUAGUCCUAGAAACACUAACGAAUAAGGGGUGGGCAAGUUCUGGUGUCAGCCGCCGCGGUAAAACCAGCACCUCAAGUGGUCAGGAUGAUUAUUGGGCCUAAAGCAUCCGUAGCCGGCUCUGUAAGUUUUCGGUUAAAUCUGUACGCUUAACGUACAGGCCGCCGGGAAUACUGCAAAGCUAGGGAGUGGGAGAAGUAGACGGUACUCGGUAGGAAGUGGUAAAAUGCUUUGAUCUAUCGAUGACCACCUGUGGCGAAGGCGGUCUACUAGAACACGUCCGACGGUGAGGGAUGAAAGCUGGGGGAGCAAACCGGAUUAGAUACCCGGGUAGUCCCAGCUGUAAACUAUGCAAACUCAGUGAUGCAUUGGCUUGUGGCCAAUGCAGUGCUGCAGGGAAGCCGUUAAGUUUGCCGCCUGGGAAGUACGUACGCAAGUAUGAAACUUAAAGGAAUUGGCGGGGGAGCACCACAAGGGGUGAAGCCUGCGGUUCAAU